rnacentral:rRNA from 1 species
UCCUAUGGAUUGUAAACUGCUUUUAUACGAGAAGAAACACUGCUUCGUGAAGCAGCUUGACGGUAUCGUAAGAAUAAGGAUCGGCUAACUCCGUGCCAGCAGCCGCGGUAAUACGGAGGAUCCAAGCGUUAUCCGGAAUCAUUGGGUUUAAAGGGUCCGUAGGCGGUUUAAUAAGUCAGUGGUGAAAGCCCAUCGCUCAACGGUGGAACGGCCAUUGAUACUGUUAAACUUGAAUUAUUAGGAAGUAACUAGAAUAUGUAGUGUAGCGGUGAAAUGCUUAGAGAUUACAUGGAAUACCAAUUGCGAAGGCAGGUUACUACUAAUGGAUUGACGCUGAUGGACGAAAGCGUGGGUAGCGAACAGGAUUAGAUACCCUGGUAGUCCACGCCGUAAACGAUGGAUACUAGCUGUUGGAAGCAAUUUCAGUGGCUAAGCGAAAGUGAUAAG